rnacentral:rRNA from 1 species
AUUGAACGCUGGCGGCAGGCCUAACACAUGCACGUCGAGCGAGCGGCGGCCGGGUGAGUACUGUAUGGGGCUCUGCCCGAUAGAUGGGGAUAACUACUGGCAACGGUGGCUAAUACCGCAUACUAUCGGCUGAACCCCUAUGGAAUGAGCUAGUAGGUGGGGUAAAGGCUAACCUAGGCGACGAUCUCUAGCUGGUCUGCGCGGAUGAUCAGCCACACUGGGACUGAGACAAGGCCCAGACUCCGACGGGAGGCAGCAGUGGGGAAUAUUGCACAAUGGGCGCAAGCCUGAUGCAGCCAUGCCGCGUGUAUGAAGAAGGCCUUAGGGUUGUAAAGUACGUUCAGCGGGGAGGCGUUACCCGCAGAAGAAGCACCGACUAACUCCGUGCCAGCAGCCGCGGUAAUAC